CAAUAGCGUAUAUUAAAGUUGUUGCAGUUAAAAAGCUCGUAGUUGGAUUUCUGGGAGGGUGCCGCCGUCCGGCGUGUCCGUGUGCAGUGGCGCCCUUCCAUCCUUCUGUUAGCGUCUCUUGGCAUUCAUUUACUGGUGGCGGGCUCAGAUAUUUUACCUUGAGAAAAUUAGAGUGUUUCAGGCAGGCUAGGCCGGAAUACAUUAGCAUGGAAUAAUGGAAUAGGACUACGGUCUCUUUGUUGGUUUGAGGGACUGCAGUAAUGAUUAAUAGGGAUAGUUGGGGGCAUUAGUAUUUAAUUGUCAGAGGUGGAAUUCUCAGAUUUGUUAAAGACUAACUUACGCGAAAGCAUUUGCCAAGGAUGUUUUCAUUA
rnacentral:rRNA from 1 species